UACGAAGGGGCUAGCGUUGCUCGGAAUCACUGGGCGUAAAGCGCACGUAGGCGGAUUGCUAAGUCAGGGUGAAAUCCUGGAGCUCAACUCCAGAACUGCCCUUGAUACUGGCGGUCUCGAGUCCGGGAGAGGUGAGUGGAACUGCGAGUGUAGAGGUGAAAUUCGUAGAUAUUCGCAAGAACACCAGUGGCGAAGGCGGCUCACUGGCCCGGUACUGACGCUGAGGUGGCGAAAGCGUGGGAGCAACAGGA
rnacentral:rRNA from 1 species